GGGGGUGUCCCGGAUUCGAUUGUUAUUUGAAAGUAUUACAGCAACACGAAGAGAUGCCAGGCUUCGUUAAAAGGCAUACAGCGAUAAAUGCUAAUAACAUUGUUCGUUUUGAGGACUUCACUGCUUGCGGGGAAGAACUCGCCCUAGCAGCUUAAACAACUGCUACCUCUUACUUCUUGACGCAGAUAGGGAGGAUAAGGGGUCAUUAAUCUGCAAAGCACAGACAACCGACAUCGGAGAAGAAACUGUGUUGAAAUAAAUAAUAGAUCCGAACCUAAGAUGCUUAUAUCCAAAGGCAAAAGAAAAUAAGCUAUUGUUGUAGACCUAAUAUGGAAUAAUAUACAAGACGCGGGUUCGACUCCCGCCACCUCCACCA
rnacentral:tmRNA from 1 species